GACAGAGGUGCCAAGCGUUAGGCGGAAUCACUGGGCUUAAAGCGUGUGUAGGUGGAUUUGUAAGUACCUUGUGAAAUCCCAUGGCUCAACCAUGGAACUGCUCGGUAUACUGCGAAUCUUGAGCCACUUAGGGGCUACCGGAACAAAUGGUGGAGCGGUGAAAUGGCGUAGAUAUCAUUUGGAACGCCAAUGGUGAAAACAGGUAGCUGGGAGUGUGCUGACACUGAGACACGAAAGCCAGGGGAGCGAACGGG
rnacentral:rRNA from 1 species